CCACGAGUAAGGCCAUCGGCGAGGCUAUUGCUAGGGACCGGGGGGUGUGCUUUGGGGCAUAUGCUUGUGGAGUUUGCGCAUAAGCUAUGGCGCGCAAGUUUGGCGUGGUCAUCUCUUCCGGUAUGGAAAGAUUCCAAGGCUGUGUGGAGAGAUUAACGUCUGGUCGUUUUUUUCCUCCGUGUGCUCCGUAGGCAGGACAAGAAUGUCUUUUAGGUGCAUAUAUCCUCGAGUGAUGGUUUAUAUUGAAAAGAACAGAAUAACAGAAGUAAGCUAGAUAUACUCCCCAAGUGCAAGAUAAUAUGCUUUCAUAUUAAAUUACGUAUUCUUAUCACCGACGGCUAGGUCGUGGCUUCGACUGGGUAUUCUCCAGCAGUUUACACAGGGAGCAUACACUUGAGGAAUACAGGGCCUAACCGCUGGAGGGGUUGGAGCUGGCUGGUGGUACUUACUUCUAGGGAUGCUUGGAAGAUAACCUGAGGAGUGACCUGCAGUGAUGGCAACUCCGGAUGAUGCUUGUGAUGUGUUAGGCAGUGAUGAAGGUAGACAAACAGUCACAAGCACCUUGCUUGAGAGUUGAUGAGCACAUCUGGCACAGAGGAUGGCUGUCUGGUGUCAUUGUUCUGAUGAAACUUCGUUCCACACUCCUUUAUUUUCGUUUUCUUAGUUCUAUGUCUCUUUUUCUUCAGAAACAGUGUUGACUGCUCCUUGAUACCUUACUGAGUCUUUCAAAGAAAGCUGCACAAUUGACUGAGCAAGGGGUUUUUUCCUUUUUUUUUUUUUUAGUCCAGCAGUGAUCUGUCUGCUGCAUGUGUUUUCUCCUUAUUCUGUAUAUACUGUGUUCCUACAUAACUUUUCCUAGGUCCGGCGGUGUAGAAAUUACAAUAAUAGUUCACCAGCGGCUAAUAUUCCAUCCCCUUUAGCUGCAAAACGAAGAUAUUCAAUACACGCGUCCACAACGGAUCAGAUCACCAAGUGUAUUUAAAAUAUGUAUACACCCCAAUAAUCCCCGUGUAUUAUUCACAUCAUAUCUUCAUUCAGAAUAACCCAAGCAUGCCUUUGGCCUCAUAGAUUUCCCUGACGGCCGCACUUCAGCGCGUCCAUUUCGCAUACGCCCAUCGCACACGCUCCAAGAUGCGCAAUUGCCGCGCAAUGCCAACACGCACGUUCAAAAGCUCACGGAUGUCCUCCUGGAACUCAUGAUAUGUAGCCCC
rnacentral:sRNA from 1 species